rnacentral:rRNA from 1 species
GGGUUGUGAGGUUAAGCGACUAAGCGUACACGGUGGAUGCCCUGGCAGUCAGAGGCGAUGAAGGACGUGCUAAUCUGCGAUAAGCGCCGGUAAGGUGAUAUGAACCGUUAUAACCGGCGAUUUCCGAAUGGGGAAACCCAGUGUGAUUCGUCACACUAUCAUUAACUGAAUCCAUAGGUUAAUGAGGCGAACCGGGGGAACUGAAACAUCUAAGUACCCCGAGGAAAAGAAAUCAACCGAGAUUCCCCCAGUAGCGGCGAGCGAACGGGGAGGAGCCCAGAGCCUGAAUCAGCAUGUGUGUUAGUGGAAGCGUCUGGAAAGGCGCGCGAUACAGGGUGACAGCCCCGUACACAAAAGCGCAUGUGCUGUGAGCUCGAUGAGUAGGGCGGGACACGUGGUAUCCUGUCUGAAUAUGGGGGGACCAUCCUCCAAGGCUAAAUACUCCUGACUGACCGAUAGUGAACCAGUACCGUGAGGGAAAGGCGAAAAGAACCCCGGCGAGGGGAGUGAAAAAGAACCUGAAACCGUGUACGUACAAGCAGUGGGAGCACCCUUCGGGGUGUGACUGCGUACCUUUUGU